rnacentral:rRNA from 1 species
CACUCUAAUGAGACUGCCGGUGACAAACCGGAGGAAGGUGGGGAUGACGUCAAGUCCUCAUGGCCCUUAUGGGUAGGGCUUCACACGUCAUACAAUGGUCGGGACAGAGGGUCGCCAACCCGCGAGGGGGAGCCAAUCUCAGAAACCCGAUCGUAGUCCGGAUCGCAGUCUGCAACUCGACUGCGUGAAGUCGGAAUCGCUAGUAAUCGCGGAUCAGAAUGUCGCGGUGAAUACGUUCCCGGGUCUUGUACACACCGCCCGUCACACCAUGGGAGUGGGUUUCACCAGAAGUAGGUAGCCUAACCGCAAGGAGGGCGCUUACCACGGUGGGAUUCAUGACUGGGGUGAAGUCGUAACAAGGUAGCCGUAUCGGAAGGUGCGGCUGGAUCACCUCCUUCUAGACUGCAGAAA